rnacentral:tRNA from 1 species
GAAAAAGUAUGCAAGAACUGCUAACUCCACGCUUCCAUGUCUAACAACAUGGCUUUUUCA